GUGGGGGUAUGUGUAAUCCCUGAAAUACAGAACUACUUAGCAAUAUUGAAAAAAGCUGCUUGAUACAAGGCAUUAACAAAACACAUUGUGAAAGCUUGGCACCCAAAUUAAUGUGGCUGCCAAUGUCAGACCAAAAACUUUGAGAGCAAAACAAUUUGUCCAGUACUAAGCAGACACCAUCAUGGCAGAUUCAAUGAACACUCAUACAGGGAUACCAUCUGUUCAUAAUGGCUUUUGAAGAAUAGCAGAUAAAAAAACUUUCAUUUUUUUUUUUAUCAAAAAUGUUAUGUUUUAUCAAAACAGUGAAGACAUGAAAGUGCAAGACUGAACAGCAAUGGAAACAGGACACAGUACAUACAGAGAAGCAGUGGUGGAAUGGGUUAGCUAAUAUAGUCAAUGGAACUGAAGAUGUUGGCACAGAGGAGAUGGUGUAGUCUGCAGUGGUGGUUGGUUGUUUGGAGAGGAAAAGAUAUUGGGGCUCAGCUGCCAUUCACUCAAUACUUUUACAGGUGAUAUUACAUUGUCAACACUUCCUUUACUUUAAAUUACACUGGCAGUAAUUUAAUUGGCACCACGCUUAGCCUGAUGUUACUCAUUUUCAGGGUGGUUAGAUAAAUCAGGGCCAUGAGGUGCUGAUUCAAAACCUUUUUAAAUAGCAAAUAAGCUUUUUUUUUUUUUUUCUUUCAUUAAGGAUGUCAUGUUUACUAUUUAGUCUUUAAUGUUAGUAUUCAGAGGUAUUCGGUGUUGAAAAUGUUCUGGUUUAUGCUAAAAUAAUGCCAUCAGAUGCUGAAUUAGUUCCUGUCAUUCUGAAGGGUUUCCUACAUGCUUUACAAACUAAAUGUUGCAAUCUCAAAUCUUUCUUCAAUUAUUAAUAUAGAGACACAUUGUCCCCCUCAACAAAGCAAUUAUCAGUAAAUAGUUUUCUAAAGGUAGUAAUUAGUGACCUGUGAACCAAGAAUCAGGAAUCAGGUAUUGAGAGACUGAGAACACCAGUUGUACUGAAAAAUUACUAGUGUUUUUUUUGUUUUCUUUUUUAGAAAUGUAUUAAUAAUGUGAAAACAAAUGAAAG
rnacentral:lncRNA from 1 species